ACCCGCUGAACUUAAGCAUAUCAAUAAGCGGAGGAAAAGAAACCAACAGGGAUUGCCCCAGUAACGGCGAGUGAAGCGGCAACAGCUCAAAUUUGAAAUCUGGCGCUUUGAGCGUCCGAGUUGUAAUUUGUAGAGGGAGCCUCGGGUUGAGGGUCGGUCCAAGUUCCUUGGAACAGGAUACCGUAGAGGGUGAGAGUCCCGUCUCCGGCCGACGCCAACGCCCGUGUGAGGCCCCUUCGACGAGUCGAGUUGUUUGGGAAUGCAGCUCUAAAUGGGUGGUAAAUUCCAUCUAAAGCUAAAUACUGGCCAGAGACCGAUAGCGAACAAGUAGAGUGAUCGAAAGAUGAAAAGCACUUUGAAAAGAGAGUCAAACAGUACGUGAAAUUGUUGAAAGGGAAGCGUAUAAGGCCAGACUUGGUCGCGAGGGCUCAGCCCGUCUUCUGGCGGGUGUACUCCCUCGCGGACAGGCCAGCAUCGGUUUUCAGGGUCGGAUAAAGGCGUUGGGAAUGUGGCUCCCUUCGGGGAGUGUUAUAGCCCGGCGUGCAAUGCGACCACUGGGGACCGAGGACCGCGCUUCGGCAAGGAUGCUGGCGUAAUGGCCUUAUACGGCCCGUCUUGAAACACGG
rnacentral:rRNA from 1 species